rnacentral:rRNA from 1 species
CAGCAGCCGCGGUAAUACGGAGGGUGCAAGCGUUAAUCGGAAUUACUGGGCGUAAAGCGCACGCAGGCGGUCUGACAAGUCAGAUGUGAAAUCCCCGGGCUUAACCUGGGAACUGCAUUUGAAACUGUCAGGCUGGAGUCUUGUAGAGGGGGGUAGAAUUCCAGGUGUAGCGGUGAAAUGCGUAGAGAUCUGGAGGAAUACCGGUGGCGAAGGCGGCCCCCUGGACAAAGACUGACGCUCAGGUGCGAAAGCGUGGGGAGCAAACAGGAUUAGAUACCCCCGUAGUCCCGUCUCUUAUACA